rnacentral:rRNA from 1 species
CCUACGGGAGGCAGCAGUGGGGAAUAUUGGGCAAUGGGCGCAAGCCUGACCCAGCAACGCCGCGUGAAGGAAGAAGGCUUUCGGGUUGUAAACUUCUUUUCUCAGGGACGAAGCAAGUGACGGUACCUGAGGAAUAAGCCACGGCUAACUACGUGCCAGCAGCCGCGGUAAUACGUAGGUGGCAAGCGUUAUCCGGAUUUACUGGGUGUAAAGGGCGUGUAGGCGGGGACGCAAGUCAGAUGUGAAAACCACGGGCUCAACCUGUGGCCUGCAUUUGAAACUGUGUUUCUUGAGUGCUGGAGAGGCAAUCGGAAUUCCGGGUGUAGCGGUGAAAUGCGUAGAUAUACGGAGGAACACCAGUGGCGAAGGCGGAUUGCUGGACAGUAACUGACGCUGAGGCGCGAAAGCGUGGGGAGCAAACAGGAUUAGAUACCCGUGUAGUC